rnacentral:rRNA from 1 species
GCCGAUACUGACGCUCAUGCACGAAAGCGUGGGUAGCAAACAGGAUUAGAUACCCUGGUAGUCCACGCCCUAAACGAUGUCAACUAGGUGUUGGGUGGGUAAAACCAUUUAGUACCGUAGCUAACGCGUGAAGUUGACCGCCUGGGGAGUACGGCCGCAAGGUUAAAACUCAAAGGAAUUGACGGGGACCCGCACAAGCGGUGGAUGAUGUGGAUUAAUUCGAUGCAACGCGAAAAACCUUACCUACCCUUGACAUGUCCAGAAGCCCGAAGAGAUUUGGGUGUGCCCGAAAGGGAGCUGGAACACAGGUGCUGCAUGGCUGUCGUCAGCUCGUGUCGUGAGAUGUUGGGUUAAGUCCCGCAACGAGCGCAACCCUUGUCGUUAAUUGCCAUCAUUUAGUUGGGCACUUUAACGAGACUGCCGGUGACAAACCGGAGGAAGGUGGGGAUGACGUCAAGUCCUCAUGGCCCUUAUGGGUAGGGCUUCACACGUCAUACAAUGGUCGGUACAGAGGGUUGCCAAGCCGCGAGGUGGAGCCAAUCCCAGAAAGCCGAUCGUAGUCCGGAUUGCAGGCUGCAACUCGCCUGCAUGAAGUCGGAAUCGCUAGUAAUCGCGGAUCAGCAUGUCGCGGUGAAUACGUUCCCGGGUCUUGUACACACCGCCCGUCACACCAUGGGAGCGGGUUCNNNNNNNAGUAGGUAGCCUAACCGCAAGGAGGGCGCUUACCACGGCGGGGUUCGUGACUGGGGUGAAGUCGUAACAAGAUAGCCA